rnacentral:tRNA from 1 species
GGGCUUGUAGCGUAAUUGGGAACACACCUCACUUGCACUGAGGAGUAUGGAGGUUCGAGUCCUCUCAGGUCCA